UACGUAGGGGGCAAGCGUUGUCCGGAUUUAUUGGGCGUAAAGAGCGUGUAGGCGGUCCGCUAAGUUAGAUGUGAAAACUCUGGGCUCAACCCAGAGCCUGCAUCUAAUACUGACGGGCUAGAGUUCUGGAGGGGGUAGCGGAAUUCCUGGUGUAGCGGUGAAAUGCGUAGAUAUCAGGAGGAACACCGGUGGCGAAGGCGGCUACCUGGACAGAAACUGACGCUGAGGCGCGAAAGCUAGGGGAGCAAAGCAGG
rnacentral:rRNA from 1 species